GGGCAAACUUAUCGUAAGAUAAGGACGCAAAGCUAUAGGGCCCGUUGAGAAGCGGACAGCCAGCUGCU
rnacentral:ncRNA from 1 species